UACAGAGGGUGCAAGCGUUGUUCGGAAUCACUGGGCGUAAAGGGCGCGUAGGCGGCUGUUCAAGUCGGGGGUGAAAGCCUGUGGCUCAACCACAGAAUGGCCUUCGAUACUGGACGGCUCGAGACCGGAAGAGGUCAGUGGAACUGCGAGUGUAGAGGUGAAAUUCGUAGAUAUUCGCAAGAACACCGGUGGCGAAGGCGGCCAACUGGACCAUCACUGACGCUGAGGCGCGAAAGCGUGGGGAGCAAACAGG
rnacentral:rRNA from 1 species